rnacentral:rRNA from 1 species
GACGAACGCUGGCGGCGUGCUUAACACAUGCAAGUCGAACGGAAAGGCCCUGCUUUUGUGGGGUGCUCGAGUGGCGAACGGGUGAGUAACACGUGAGUAACCUGCCCUUGACUUUGGGAUAACUUCAGGAAACUGGGGCUAAUACCGGAUAGGAGCUCCUGCUGCAUGGUGGGGGUUGGAAAGUUUCGGCGGUUGGGGAAGGACUCGCGGCUUAUCAGCUUGUUGGGGGAGUAGUGGCUUACCAAGGCUUUGACGGGUAGCCGGCCUGAGAGGGUGACCGGCCACAUUGGGACUGAGGUACGGGCCAGACUCCUACGGGAGGCAGGAGGGGGGAAUAUUGCACAAUGGGCGGAAGCCUGAUGCAGGCACGCCGCGGGCGGGAUGACGGCCUUCGGGUUGUAAACCGCUUUCGCCUGUGACGAAGCGUGAGUGACGGUAAUGGAUAAAGAAGCACCGGCUAACUACGUG